rnacentral:lncRNA from 1 species
GAGUAUUUUGAUUAGUAUACAAGAAAACUAUACAAGUACUUUCGUUCUUUUUUUCUUGCUGGCAGCAACUAUACACAAGUACUUACGUACUUUAAAUGUUACUAUUUUAGUAAUAACAAUAAUUCAACUAGAGCAAUGCCAAUGACGAAAUCUAUAAGCACAUCACAUCUGAAGCUUUUCAACCAUUUGAGUUCAAAAUUCAUCUUAAGACAGGCAUAUAUAAACUCCUCAAGAUAUUCGAAGUUGCAUUUUCAAUUUUCAUCCACAGUUUAUCUGCUUCUUCCAAAAACCUUUGAGGACAUGAAUACUGAAUACACAUAAACAUUGACUCAUAAAGAUUGUAGAAUCAUUUUCUGUGGGUAAACAACAAAAAGAAAGAGAUGCCACACGAUUAACCUUUAUUCUUUAUGUUUUUUUAUUUCAUAUUCUGAAGCUUGAGAGUUUUGUAGCACAUCUUGAUCAGAGGAUACCUUAUAAAAUUUAUAAAAGGUCCAAGGAACAAGUCAACAACACAUAUAUUCUAAUAUAUAAUAAAACACACAUAUAUUCUAAAAUGUAAUAAAACACACAUAUUCCAAAAUGUUAUUCCUUAUCCAGACAGCAGCACAGAGAUUAUAUACCUCAAAAUCUUCAAAUCGAGUCUUGGACGUGUUGAAUUGAUGUUUCUCCUUUCCAAAAUCCCUGAACAAAAACCUUAAGAUUAUGCUUUGAUUCCUUCUUAUCAAGAAACAUUUAUAAAUUUCAUAAAAUCAAAUGCUCUAAUAACACAACAGCCUUAAGCAACCAUAUUCCAAAUUAAUUAUCUCCAAAGAAGCAAAUGGAUUAAACCCUUCUCUCGUCGAAGUUAUAAAUUACAACUCAUGAUCAGAAAAAAAAUAGAAUAGUACUCAGAACUUACUCUAGAGUAUAGAGAGAUGUGUCUAGAGCGCUUUAGGACGGCCAACUUGAGAUGAUUGUGAUACCAAAAAGAACAUUAUGGUAUGUAACUAAAGUGACCAAUCUGAUCCAAAUAACAAAGAAAUCUGGUCCAGAUAACAAAGAAAUGUACAGUUUUAAAACGGGUCUGUGUUCUAUUUAAAAGGCCCAAUCUGGUCCAAAAGAAACAUAUGAUAAAAGUUACAAAACUAUAUUGACCAAUCAAAACUCCCAUUAUAUUCCACAAUGUUAAUGUUAUGAAGUACUAUCAAGUAUUGGCUCCACUUAUAGUUAAAAAUGAAACACAAUGAUAAAAAA